UAAUUGAAGGGUUUGAUCCUGGCUCAGAACGAACGCUGGCGGCGUGGGUGAUACAUGCAAGUCGAACGGGAAACAAGGCUUCGGCCUUGGAGGACAGUGGCGGACGGGUGAGUAACAUAUGAUCAAUCUGCCCGGAAGACUAGGAUAGCCGCCCGAAAGGGCGGGUAAUACUGGAUAAGCCCACGGUGAGGCAUCUCUUUGUGGGAAAAGGAUUGGGAUCUUCGGACCUUUCGCUUUCGGAUGAGAUUAUAUCCUAUCAGCUUGUUGGUGAGGUAACGGCUCACCAAGGCGACGACGGGUAGCCGGCCUGAGAGGGUGGACGGCCACACUGGAACUGAGACACGGUCCAGACUCCUACGGGAGGCAGCAGUGCUGAAUUAUUCGCCAAUGCGCGAAAGCGUGACGGUGCGACGCCGCGUGAGGGACGAAGGCCUUCGGGUUGUAAACCUCUGUCAGGGCAUAGAAAACCAAUUCGGUUAACAGCCGGGUUGUUGAUCAUGCCCAAAGGAAGCACAGGCUAAUUUCGUGCCAGCAGCCGCGGUAAUACGAAAUGUGCGAGCGUUGUUCGGAAUCACUGGGCAUAAAGGGUGCGUAGGCGGUUCGCCAAGUCGGGUGUGAAAUCCCUUCGCUCAACGGAGGAACUGCAUUCGAUACUAGCGGGCUAGAGG
rnacentral:rRNA from 1 species